rnacentral:rRNA from 1 species
AUUGAACGCUGGCGGCAUGCCUUACACAUGCAAGUCGAACGGUAACGGGCCUUCGGGUGCCGACGAGUGGCGAACGGGUGAGUAAUGCAUCGGGACGUACCUUUCAGUGGGGGAUAACGUAGCGAAAGUUACGCUAAUACCGCAUAUUCUGUGAGCAGGAAAGCAGGGGAUCGCAAGACCUUGCGCUGAUUGAGCGGCCGAUGUCAGAUUAGCUAGUUUGUGAGGUAAAGGCUCACCAAGGCGACGAUCGGUAGCGGGUCUGAGAGGAUGAUCCGCCACACUGGAACUGAGACACGGUCCAGACUCCUACGGGAGGCAGCAGUGGGGAAUUUUGGACAAUGGGGGCAACCCUGAUCCAGCCAUGCCGCGUGAGUGAAGAAGGCCUUCGGGUUGUAAAGCUCUUUCGGCCGGGAAGAAAUCGCACGGGCUAAUACCCUGUGUGGAUGACGGUACCGGAAUAAGAAGCACCGGCUAACUACGUGCCAGCCGCCGCAGUAAGAC